rnacentral:lncRNA from 1 species
AAGAGAGGUGCCUAGAAAAGCACAGGCUGAGGAAAGAAGGAGUAGGAAGAUUACUUCAGUCAACGAAAAGGAAUGAAGUCGGGGGAAAGAAAGGUGUAUCUAAGAAAGGAUUCCAAAUGAUUUGGAAUCUGGAACCCCAGAUGUUAAACAACUAACUUGCCUAUGGAAAUCAGUUUUGACUUGAACUCGGUAUCCAAGAAGUGGAUCCAAGAAAACGUAUUCUCCUCAAGGACAAGGGAACCAAUCCACGAACUAAAUGGGGGCGGGGCGUGUUAGGUCUUGAAGCUCUGUAACCGUGAGAUGUCUCCGUGUGAAUUCGAGAGGCUUUGGCUCCUGCCCUGGGAAUCCUCACACUCUGGAAAAGCGGAUUUUUCAUUGUAAAUGUCUGGCUGGUGAAUGACAUGCUGAUGUGGCACCAGCCUUGUUCUUGUUCAUUGGGAAAAGGAACAACGGAGAAUAGAAAAUUGACCAGUGGGAUUCUGAUUCAGGCUGGAAGAUAAAGUGUGCCUGCACCUGGCCUUGGUCCAAGAAGCUUGAUGGGAGGCUGGGACUGGAGCUGACCCUGCUGGUGUUGGUGACACUCUGGCUUAUUCAAGGAGCAUUUUCCAAGCCUCAGCUUGUCAGUGGUGGGUGAAGAACUGUUAAGAAAAAACAGGAUUGUGUCUAACCUUAACCCGUCAAAACCAAUGGGUGGUCUGUCUCAGACCUUAAGGAUCCCUAGGAAGUCAAAGCCA